AUAUAUUUAUUUAUAUAUAUAAUUCUAUACUCAUUUAACUCUUAUCAUUCCUUCAUUUUCUUAUAUUUUAACAACAUAGGAAUUCUUUCUUUCUAUACUAUCUAACAUACAAAUUAUUUAUAACAGAAAGAAUCGCUUUAGCACUUGCUGCCGAACACCCAUGUUCUUAGUCUCAAUGCAAGCAUCUCAGUAGUGAAAAUGGCUCUGAAGCAAAUAUACUUGGAGGAAUCCUAGUACCCAAUUGUUUGUUUCCCUUGUUAGGGAUCAUAAGAGGCAUUGUUAUGUAAUUUUAUGGAAAGAAGGUUCUUGCCACGUGAUAUAGAUUUGAAGCCGGUGGUUGCAGUUUACUCUGCGUAAAGUUAGCUCUAUUGGAGCUCUCUAACGAGUAUCAAAAGGCUUGACGAGUCCAUCUUAGUUAGAUAGACUUGUUUUUUAGGAUAGCAAUAUAACCCUUAGGAUUAACCAUGCAGUGUGUUUUUAGGCAGUACAGCAACACCACAAAAUUUUGUUGUGCCAGAUCCAUUUAAAGGCUGCACAAUUUCCAAAAUUACAACACAAAUAGGGUCAGUGCUUUAAAAUGGUUCAUCUAGUUUUCUAGAAUGCUUAAGGAUUAUGUAUUUAUGCAAGUCAAUCUUAUUGCAUUAUCGACAACAUAGUAGCUAGACCUAGAGAGGUUUUGGAGUUAGGAUCGUCGAGGGCACUAGGCAUAUGAUUUGGAAAUUUGAGCAGUGCAAUGAGAAUUACAUUCAUAAAUAGCUUGUAAGAUUUUCCUAAUUAACCCGAUAAUUUAAGUAGAGGUGAUGUCACGCUCACGCAUCUCAGCUCUGGCCCAACUGGUCUUGCUUUUGCUUAAUACUUUCAUCAACUUUAGGCAUAGUAUUCAAAAGAACCUGUAGGAUGGAAACACUCCAUUCUUUUAGUUCAUUGACAUAAUAGAACGUAUAUAAUCUAUUGAUUCUAUGCAUAACACGGAGGUUAUGGCACUAGAUCACCUCCCGAAGCAUGGCAUUUUCAUUGACCAAAGUCGAAAUUUUCCCCUCCAAUUUUGAGUUUCUGUCCUGUAAUUCUUUGGCCCUUGAUUCCAGCUCAUUGACAUAAACCUUCUUCCUUUCUCUGGCUUGUUGAGCAGAGACCCUAUUCCUUAGUAAUCUCUUCAGCCGUCUGUACUCCUUAUCAACAGGAUUUCGUCCCCUGCGGCGCUUCUCGGGUUGAACCUCCGCAUUCUUGUUUCAAGGGUUGGUACUAGAAGUAUUAGGAGUGACAGUAGAUCCAGCAAGCGGUCGAGCUUCCACAUCUGGAACCGUGAAAAGAUCUUCGUCGCUCUCUUCUACUUUCCUCUUAUGCGAAACGAGAGUGUUGUUACUGUUUCCCCUCCAAGAAGAAGAGCUAGUAGCAGUCGCCUCAACUUCAGGCCGCUGCUGCUCCAACGGCCGUUGGGACGCGUAAAUUGAGGGCAAAGGAUUGUUGGCUUUACCAUCCCUUAGUCUUGGAAGAGACAUCUCUCUUGUGCCUGAUGAUAUCGAGCGAUAAUUAGGCUUCCAGCAAUACUUAUUUUGCCGGAGUUUGAGGAUUUUGGAAGGGCAAGUUUUGGCUCAAGAAGGAACACGUUGAUGCAUGCAAAGCCGUGACUCAUUUACCAAUCACAGCAAUCUCGCCCAAUUCGUAAUUUGGUGUCUCAGGCCCAACUUCACUUUUUUUGGAAAAAAAAAUGUAGUGCUGGGCCGAAUUGGGCUUUUCAUAAACAUUUGCGCAUCUGGCAUCCUCUCCCACUCCCAAACGAGGUUUUAUCCUUACCCGUCCGUUCUUGACCUGAAUUUCCAAACAAGCUGCCAAUCUCUGAUUAAUGCCCUUCGUCUUGUGUCAGUUGCGAGGUAAAGAAACGUAGCAAGAGCAAAUUGAGCUUUGAUUCCCUCCCAACUAGUUUGUUUGCAGACGGAAGAUCACAAAUUAAAAUGAAAGCCCUGCCACCUACGUCUUCAAAAGCACCUGUCAAGUUCAGAAUGUGAGUUAAUUUGUUUCUGUUUUCUGUUUCUUCUUUCUGCUCAACAUGAACAUGUGAUUUCAACUCUUUUUUUUUUUAAUGUUAAAAACCAAGGCCAACAGCGGAGAAUUUAGUACCAAUUCGACUGGACAUAGAAAUCGAUGGCCACCGCUUCAAAGAUGCUUUCACUUGGAAUCCUUCCGAUCCUGAUUCUGAGGUGGUGGUGUUCGCUAAAAGGACCGCAAAAGACUUGAAGCUGCCUCCUGCUUUCGUUAUGCAGAUUGCUCAGUCGAUUCAGACGCAGUUGACUGAAUUUAGAUCCUACGAAGGCCAGGAUAUGUACACUGGCGAGAAAAUUGUUCCAAUCAAGCUUGAUCUUCGGGUGAAUCACACUCUUAUCAAGGAUCAGUUUUUAUGGGUACAGUCAAGAGCUAAUAUUUCAAUACCGUCCCUUUUACAUCUUCAUGCCUCAAUUUUUCAUGAAUUGGUUUGGCUUGAAUGCAUUUGCACGAAUUGAAUUGCAGGACUUGAACAACUUUGACAGUGAUCCUGAAGAGUUUGCUAGAACCUUUUGUAAAGAUUUGGGUAUCGAAGACCCUGAAGCUGGAGUAAGCAAAGCUUAACCACCGCCACCCAACAGCCACCACACCCACCACCACCCACCCCACAACCACCCACCCCCCCCCCCUUCCUCCCUUUUCAUUCCUUGUUUCUGGUUUCCUGAGCGUUUUAAUUCUUAAGAUCAACUUUGAUUCUUUGCUUUAUCCUUUGCAGCCUGCAGUUGCCUUAGCUAUUAGGGAACAGCUUUAUGAGGUUUGGCUUGAGCUGUUUAGUUGAGCUUAUUCUUUUGUUUCACUGUACCUUAUCUUAGUAGUUGACACUUGACAAUAGACAUUAGUUCCUUGGUCCACGGCACUUACUAUAUCCUAAUUAUAUUUGGUUUGCUAGAUUGCAAUUCAAAGUGUAGCUACAGCAAGGGAAAGCAGAUUAAGCAAAAAAGGUCGCCGUGGCUUUGAAUAUAUUCCUGCUCAGUAUGUUUCUAAUAGCCUUUUUUUCUUAUUGUCGUUUAAGAUUUAGUUCAACAUUAGAGAGCUGGAUGUUUGACUAUGUGAUAAGAUGAAUUGAAUUGCCUUUCUUUCUCUCUGUCUCAGCAAAGCAGGGGGUACUGCAUUGGAUUUGAUGAAGUUAUUCAGUAAUAAAUAUAGUGUGAUUAGGUAUGUUUCAAUUUUCAUUAAUAAGUCUCCUGGGAUCUGAAGAAUUUAAUUGCUUUAUCAGCAUGUAAACAUCUAUCUCCAAAGCAAGAGAAGGAAGCUUUAAUGACCAAAGCUUUUCCCUAGUUGAACAAGCAAGACAAUUGUUGCAUAGUUUUGUGACAGAAAUGUAACAAUUGCCUGAUUCCUUCUAUCCUAUAGUCUGCACAGAAUGCUGCUUUAUUACUCCAUUCUGUCUCCACAAUUUGCACAAUAGGCUAUCUCCCAUAGUUCUGCAGACCAACUCCAACUUGUAGUUUCCUUAAGAAUGAUAAAGUGGGUCAAAGUAGAAGAGGAAUCACCUUCCCUAGGCACUCCAGAGCUGUUAUAGGAACAAUGGCACUCUGCUUUCUUGUCACUUGACGCAAAUGCAGUUAUUUAUCAUUAGUUUUUUUUCCUCUCUUACUCCUCUAAUUGCCCUCAAAAGUAUAAAAGAAAAUAAAAAUAAAAAGGGCAUGUAACAUCGCUGCUGCAAUAAAAAUGUUGUGAUCUUAUUCUCCCUUUCUUUUCUGUAGCUUUGUAGUGUAGGCCUGGCUAUUUCUACUUGAUGACACUAACCAUUCAAUAUUAGAUGGGUUAGUAACAAUUUGUUUAGAUGUUAUGAUUUGAAUUUCAUUGUAUUUCACAAUUAACUAUUGUGCUUUGAACAUUGCAUAUUCAUGAAACGUUUCUAAACAAAAUAAUUAGAUGGUGUGUUUGUUUUCUCAUACAAUAGGAAAAGAAAGGAAUGGGAUGUAUACGAACCAAUAGUUGAUCUGCUGUCAAAUGAGGAAGUGGAUGCCCUUGAAGCAAGGGAGGAAAGGAAUUUGCGGUGAUUUAUACUCAUCAAUGGACAUGUAUAUGAAUUUGUAAGAAAACAUUUGGAGAUUUUGAGAUUAGAGAAUAUGACGGCUUAUGCUGUUUUAUUUUUAGUAAUUUGCUUCUUUGCCUUCUAUUUAAAACCAGUAAAGCCUAGAGCUAGAUAGCCCAAUAUGGCCUCUUUGUAUCUUCUGUUUUACUCUAUCUUCUGCUGGAUAGACUAAAAAAGAAAUAGUUGAGAAACAAAGAUUUAUUCACACUGCUAUGGAAAUGCAUUGCAUCUGGAGGAACUGUAUGGCUUCCUUAUUUAGAGUAACCUCUUGUGUAGGGUGUAGAUAAUGAUUGGAUGUUUCGUCUAAGGCCCAUUUGGCAUCGGUAACUCCAAGCAAAAUGUUAGAACAGAAAGUGCUAUCCUUUGAUGAAGCUACUGUUGGAGUCUUCUUGGUGCUCUAAUAGCCGUAAUUUUAGAAGAGCUUCUGAUGAUGCUUAUUUUUUUUAUCUCGUUGAUAGAAAUUUGUUAAGAAUUUGUUUGAGCUUUCUCGUUGUAGUUGCCCAUACUUCGUUUGGUAUACUUUGUUUUCCCUCUCUUCUUAUCCGUAUACUAAAAACGUGAAAUAGAAAACAGUAGAAGAAAAUCGAAUAUCGUUCUUUGGGGUUUAUGUUUUCACAAGCUAUUUUAGAAUUCUCAAAUGUUGAACUGCUUAACCGCUGAAAUGACCUGCAAAUCAGUUGUCAUUUGGAAUCAAACUCUCUUAUUUGCUUUUUU
rnacentral:misc_RNA from 1 species